CUGUAUAGAAGCCGGUGUGUAUGAAACCAGCAGAAUUUGUUUCAAUAUUGUGAAAAGUUUCAUCUAAAUGCAACAUCUUUUAUUAUCUUUUGAUUAUUACAUGACUCAAUCAGCUGACUAUGCAGGCGCAGUAUUUGAAUGUUUUUAUGUAUAUAAAGUCAUGUUGUGUUGAUUCUGAGAGUAAUUGACUAACGAUUGAGUAACAAUACAACACUAGUUGAGUCAUGUUGUGGGGGUUUCGAAAGUAUUAUAACUUAAUAUAACUGAUGUGUUUGAAAUAAGUAAAAUUUGAUUACAGUGUGCGUUAAAUGGAGCCAUUUAAUUGCUAAGCGGACUAAAAAAGUUAAAUAUUUGAUCGGUCAGCGUGGUUAUUCAUCUGAUGCUGUUUAUUUUCAAAGACCAUGUGUGCGUGAUGUAACCUACCUGAGUAAAUUAUUUACAAAUUUACAAAUUGCCGAAUUGUCUCCUGGAUUACAUCUCAAAGUAGAAGACGCAAUUGAAUUUGUUAGCAAACAAGAAUCAUUGAAAGGAUUAAUUAGUAGAUAUCGCAAACCAAUAGAAAAAUAUUGUGAUCAACUCGAAAUGCUUUCUGUCAAUCAUUUCAAUCCAAACAAUUUACAAAAUAGUUCAAACAUAAAGCAAUUGGACAUUUGGAAUUAUAGUCUAGUGGAUUUGAGAAGAGAUGCACAUUAUUUGCCAAACCUUGAAAGACUAAAGGUUGAAAUAGAUGUUCCAGAUAAUCCCUACGAUGGUCCAGUAUUGGAAAAGCUCAAAAUACUUGAGAUGGCCUUUCGUCGUCCCUGUCAUAACAUUUUUUAUGGUUUCCAGUUCAUGGAUUCAUGUCCAAAUUUACAAAGCGCACAUAUUUUGAUGAGCGCUAAUACUUCGUUUUUUGAUGAAACAUUGAAACACAAAUGUUUACAAGAUUUAGUUUUUCAAUUCUAUGGACUUGAUAACGCAGAUGAUACCUGGAAUUAUUUUAAAAGAUUGUUCAAGAAAUUUCCGAAUCUCAAACAUCUUGCGUUGAGGGGCCAUUGUAUUAUAACAGAUGAACAUAUCGAGCAGUUGGUUCACAUUUUACCCAAUUUAGUGCUAUUGGAUGCUGUUGAGUGUCAGGAAGUC